GGCCGCCAGGGGCUCAGCGGAAGUCGGGGCAGAGACCUGGAAGGAGGGGCGGCUGGUGGAGGGCCCGCCGGGGCCCAUUCAGAUUUGCUCUUGCGGCUCAGUUAAGCGUGGAUUUAAGAGUGGAGCGCAGGCACUCUGUGCUCUCGGGGGAAGGCGGCGGCCAAGAGUGCAUCGCGCUGCGGGUGCUCAGAUCUGAAGGGCGGGAGCUCGGUGGUCGGGGUUCCAGUGCGACUCCUGCGGGAGUCCUCAACCAAGCCGGGGCUCCCGGUGCUGAACCAGAGGUCUUCAUUUCUGUGGGCCCCACGUUGGAAAGUUGAAGUCGUGAGGGCUCUCUCUUCCAGGCAGAAGGUGUGUGUGAAUGCGAGCGUGUGCCGAGGUGCAGUGAGUUUAUAACAUUCAAAUUCUAUUCCAUCAUAUUCUACGGACUGGCCAAAAUUUAAAAAUAUUACACCUGUGCUGCUCCUGCCAAGUAUGGAUACACACUCCCCAAACUAUUCUCAGUUUUAAUGAACAGAAGAAUCACCUGGAGCUGCUGAUUUAAAAAGAUGAAGAUGAAGAUGAGGGUGAAGACGAAGACAAAGAAGAAGAUGGAGAAGAAGGAGAAACGAGAAAGAAAGAAAUAACAAAAGAAGAUGGAGAUUUUUAUAAUCCCUGUCCCUUGAAAUUUUGAUUUGUAAGUUUGUGGUUGGACCCAAGAACCAUCAUUUUACAUAAGCACCAUAGGUGUUGUUAACCCCACCGAUUGUCUGUUGAUUCCUAUCAUUUUCUUUCUUAGAACAUAAUCAAAAUUCCAAUCAGAAUUCUCUGGAGACAUCCAGCGUAGUCCAACUUUGGUAGGUCCUGCUCCUAACUUUAUGGUCUUAGGCAUUUUCCCAUAAGAGUUCAGAAGUAGGGGCGCUCGGGUGGCUCAGUCGGUUGAGCAUCUGACUUCGGCUCAGGUCAUGAUCUCGUGGUUCAUGAGUUCGAGCCCUGCAUCAGGCCCUGUACUGACAGCUUGGAGCCUGGAGCCUGCUUCGAAUUCUGUGUCUCCCUCUCUCUCUCUGCCCCUCCCCCCCUCACGUUCUGUCUCUCUCUUUCUCUCUCUCUCAAAAAAUAAACAUUGGAAAAAAAAAAAAAGAGUUCAGAAGUAGGUGAGGUGUCAGAGCCGGGCUGAUGCAUUCAUUCAUUCAGCAAACCUUUUUGAGCACCUGUAUCAGGGAAACGAAUAGACAUAAAUCUCUUACGUUCUUGCUGGGAGGAGUCAAUAAAUCAAUGAGUACACUAGGUGAGCAGUACUAGAGAAAAAAGUAAGCAGGGUAGGGAGAUUGUGAGUGCAGAGGGUCUUGCAGACAUUGUGGUUCUCAAUGGGCUGACCUGGUUAGGUCUCACCGACAAAGUGACUUGGAAGUGAGCCGUGUGGCUCUUCAGAAGAUGAGUGUCCUGGGCAAAGAGGACAGCCAGUAUAAUGUCCCUGAUCAGAAGCUGAGCACACCUGGUGUGAGAAAGGGAGGGGGUGUGGCAGGGGCUGAGGUCCCAAAAGGGUGCCGGGGGCCAGAUCAGGCACUUAACAGGGCAUUGCAAACUCGCUGGCUCAUUCGCAAGUGCGAUGGGGAGCCAUUGGAAGAUUCUGAGCAGUGACAUGAUCUGAAUUACAUUUUUAAAGUAUCACACAGGCUGCUUUAGGGGGAAUAGGAGCAGAAGCAGGGAGACCAGUUAGGAGGUGACUCCAGUAAUCCAGGUGAAAUAUGGCAAUAGGGUGGUGACAGGUGGUUGGAUGCCAUAUAUAUUUUGAAGGUAGAAUCCAUCGUUUUCUGAUUGAUUCGAUGUGAAUGUUGGAGAAGAGAGAUCUCAAGGACUCUAAUCAGGGUGAAAUCUUGGAAUUGUUGCUUGGUAUGCUGAAUAAAAGCAUCCCCAAAGGAGGAAGCGCAUGGUCUACGUGUUGCUGGCAGCCAUCCAUCCUGUGUUCACGAGGAGAGCCAGCCUGAGGUUGGAGCCAAUGCUGUGUUUGGCAGGGCAGAGUGGCAGGAAGAAAUUGUCCUGAUGGCAGUGCUGAGCCACUGAGUCUACACCCGAAGUCGGAUCGACCUCUGCACUGCCAGUUACGAGAACAAAUGAGUCCCCUUGGUGACUUUGUUAUUUGCAUCCAAAACAUGAAUACUGCUACUCUGACCUAGACUCAGAGACGUCUUUCAGAUGCAUGAUUUGCCUAAAGAAACUUUUCAUAGUCCUACCUGAGUUAGCCUGCAGACCUCAGGUAUGACUUUCUCCAAAUGUUCUUUCUCAUGCCUCUUUCAUCUCACUGGUCUUUGGCACAUCAUAAUCUCCUUAAGAUAAGAGUACUGAGUCAGGAGCAGGGCCAGACAGACCUGGCACGGCGGAAAGUCUGGAAUUAUUAGCCCAAUAUCCCUAUUAAUAGUAGUGGAGGUAGCUUCACCUGCAUUUUACAAAGUUGAGAGUAGAGAUCAAAAGGUCUUCUAUUUCAGAUCUAAGAUUAGUUUUUCUGAUGGCCAUUCACAAUCUAUGUGUCACAUACAAGAGAGUAGAGCUUUUCAGGAGGAGGUCAUUUAACUGGUUGCUUCACUGACUGGCAGUGUAUUGGUACAGAUACCACAGAUCUGAUCUUUAGCUCUACAGAUGCAAUAACUAUUGGGUCCCUUCAUUCAGGGUGAUUAAGCUGGGAGGGAUCAAUUCAUCAUAGCCAAACUUACAAGAGACUGAUAGAUAAACCAGCCUGUCAUGUUAUUGAUAGUUAAGAAAUGUUUCUCAGACUUGAAAACGUGUGGACCCUUGAAUAUAUCCCCAUUUGAGAACUAUUGCUUUCACACUUACAUUAUGAGACUUUAGAUGGUCACUUGACCAAAAUAGUCAUCAAUGCAAAUCCAGUCUGGGCAUUGAUAUUACAGAGCAUUACUCUGUAAAAAGAUGGUGAUCCAGGUGAUGCUUGUGUUAAAAUGUUUAUGCGAUCUUUCAAAUGAAAACACAACUUUUAAAAGUUAUUCUAAAGAAUUCGUGGACCUCUGAGAAUUUGAUUAAAGUCUCCAAUAUGGAAAACAAUGCAAUAGGAGAAAGGCUUUGUUUGAAAAUUGGAGCUGGUUAUAUACACAGGAUGCUCUAAAGCAAGUCUACUCAGGAAACUGGAUUGUAGAUGUAAAGGCAGAUUCUGGGGUGUAGAAUAAGAACAGAAGGAGCUGGCUGUUCGCAGGGAGCACAGCCUUUAGACCAGGGGAGCUGGUUUUCCUCUCUGUACUUGCUGUGCAAAUACUUCUGUUUAAGACUACCAGUCAGGGAGAACAGAGUUCCAUCGUUCUUGCAUCAUGGUAGAGAAGCACUGACAACUUCUUAUUUACUAACUUCCUUUUUCCUAGACCUCAUCUUGAAUCCGUGAACCCUCCCUGCCAGUGCAUCAUUUCUAGGUAAAUAGGAAGCAUGUUCUCUUCCUGACAAGGAAGGAGCUGGGGCCAGAUUGGUGGAACUCCAAAGCCCAUGCUCUUUCCAAUUAGCAAGUUGCUGGUUUCCAUCAUCGAACUAAAAUAAUGAGGGACCCGUAUAUUCGAUAGGAGAUGGUAAAAGCAACUUUGAAAAAAAUCUCUUCCAAUUUAGUCUAGAGCAAACUCUGAGAGUCGAUCAUUCUUCUUAAAUGACUUCACACAGUGUUCUCUGCCUACUCCUAUUUUAGAUCUACUUUUAACAAACCCUCCCCUCUCCCACCUCCAGCCCCAACUGAGGAACGAGGGAGCACUCACGGCCCAUUGUCACAUACUCCCACUUCUGGCUUUGGAACCAGGCUGGAGUAGAGCCAGACUCAGUGCUGGGCUGCCUCCAAGCAGGCUGGAGAAUGCAUCCUGUUCCCAGGCAGUGAUUCCAAGGGCAGCGUUCAAUCGCCAGUUCUUCCCUGGCCCAUCAGAGCCUGGCAAGGGCAUGUAAUCCCUUGGUCCAUUUAGCCAAUGCCUGCCUGUUCUCUAGUAGAGUCAGAAAUUGGGGGAGGGGUGCCUGACCAGUUUAGAAAUGAGAGGGCUCCCAGGGAGCAUGCCCUGAAGCCCAGGAAGCAGUGCUCUGGAGUAUUCAUUCAGUCGUUGCUAACCCCUUCCUUUCCUAUGGCCACACUCCUUGGUGCUGAUGCCUGUAAACGUGCCACCAGUGACGGCCAGCCAGCUAGACUACAUCUGUAGUCUACCAUUUCUUACUUUUGUGUGCACUUCUUCCCAAAGCCUGGAAUACUGUCCCUUUUAGCUCCUCCUCCCCAAAUCCUCCCCACCCUUUAAGAGCCAUGGCUGAAAUGAGCCUCCCAGAAGGCCUUCUGUGAUGCAUAACCACAAACGAUGCCUCCUUUUGUCAACAGCCAUACCCAUCUUCCUGGACCUAUCUUAAAACAAUUUUCUGGUUUCUGUUGUAACUAUUGACAGACAUUUCUUGUCUCUUCCAUCGAGAAACAAGGUAGGACGUGAGGGUGUGUCUGACUGCUUUUCUUUUUCCCACAAGGAAAAACAUAUUGUAGGUGCUUAAUAUUUGUUGAAUGAAUAAUAAAUUGGAAGCAUUGUACACGUGGUGCACAGAUUAUGGAAGACUGGAUCCUUUACACCUUUCUCUUUAGAAACUGCCCCUAGGGGUCCCUCUGAUCUCCCCACACACCUGCAGCUAACAGGGCCUAUUGAGGGGGGAGGGGAGCCUCCAGGUCCCUGAUUCAGCAUUAAGCCAAUAUCCUUUCUGAAUGGUCAAGUGCUUAGACCAUAGCAGUGGUUAAAUAUUUUGUACAUCAGCCCUGCUUUUAAGACAGGUGGCACUCAACCAAAUGACGUAGAAGAAACACGGGUUCAAAUGCAUGUUUUGGCAGUCAGACAUUCUGGUUGAGUGCAGGGCACAGGUGAGGUGCGUUGAGGCAGAUACUAGAAGGUGGGGAAGUUGGGUGUUGCCAGAAGCUGGAAGGCAGGGAAUGAUAUCACCUUUCAUUAAUUAUCUGUGUAACCUUGGGCAAAAGAGCACCUGAGUGCUAGUUCUGGUGACUGGAUCUUGAGCAAGUCACUUCAUCUUGUCACAGUUAAUUCAUCUACACAAUAGCAGGAUGGUUGGGGUGAUAGUGAGAUACAGGGGUGCUUGGUGCUUGUAGAAAGUCACGAGUGCAGCCUCAGGGAUGGAUAUAGGUCAAAGAGACAGUGGUUAUUUACAUGUUGAGCCUUCCUGUGGAAGAAAGCAUCUAUUUUGUUCCUGUGCUUUAAUAGGAUAUAUUUUGUGGUUCUAGACCAACCCAUGAAAUGGAGCAUCUGGCAAAAGAUGGGAAAGAUAAACCGGUGUAUUCAACAUCAACCUGCUAAUUUGCCCAAGAGGCUCCUGUGUUUUUGUUCAAAGCAGGACGCGUCCCUUGUCAAGUCAAAUCACAAUUAAACCAUGCUUCUUUUUUCUUGGUAAAAGCAAUUCUUCUUGUCCUUGAAGUUCUUUGUCAUUUCUCCUCUGAAGGGGCUCACAUCGCGUAGCCCUAUGUGACAUUGCCAUGUGAGUGUGGAGUAGGUUAUGUAAAUGUCUGGCAUGGUUUAGUUUAUUAUCACUGCUUUUAGUACUUGGUAAACAAAAGAAGAGUCAUUUGUUGGUUAUGUUUUUUCUGUGCAAACAGAAUUGCUUAAUAGAAGAGAAGGAAAUAGAGCAACUGUUGCUAAAUGACACAAAAGCAGAAGUUGAUUGAGUUCCUUUCACAUGAGUAUUCAAGUAUUUCAGCCAUGAUACUCUGGCAGCUUAGAAUUGAGGAAGGCCUGAACCGGGUUGAGCAGAGUCAGAAGUUGAAGAUAUAUGAGCUACCAGAGAAAUGCAGGCAGGACGUAGAAAUGUGGAGGUGAUAUUGGGGGUGAAAUCUCGGAGCAGAACCACUUAGUAUGAAAACCACUCAGAAACCGAGUUAUAAUCAUGUAAAAGAAACACACGCUGCAUACUUUCUAAUUUCUCAGAACACGUUGUGUUUCAGGGACUUUGUUGAAACUGGCUCUGUGCAAGACCAAACCCCUGCCUGGCUGAGCAGUAAGAUAACUUUCUAGAUCUGGGAGCCAUUUGGAAUCCAAAAGGCUUGAAAACACACGUAUUACGAUAGCUUAGAAUCUGGAACGGAGAUUAUGGUUUUAACAAUACGCACUUAAACGUGAAUUGUUAUCAUUGGUUAGACAGAUAUCAAAUUUAUCCAACACAGAAUUCCUGGCCUCUUUUCUUCCCCCAUAAAAGCCAUAAAUAUGGCUUUUUUCCAAGCGAGAAAUAAAGGCUGCAGGGUGAGUGGUAAAGCAGCUGAUUGUUUCUCUGGUAAAGGGAAUUUUCAUAACUCAUUCACCUGCCACUGCAUUAAUGCAAAGAUUUGCUGUUGGCUAUUAAUUAUCCCCUUUAAACAUUUGGUAUCUGUUUCUAAUCUUGAUAAAAGAGCAGUUCUUAUUGUGGUUUUCAGAGAAAGUAUGGUACCUGACAGAAAGGCACUGACAGGGCCAGAGUUUUAACGGGGCAACUUUGUUACCCAGAAAGGGUUUUGGAGUGCUAUUUUAGCACAUUCUACCUCAGAAAAUUAAGUUUUAUCCGGUCGCAUUUGUUAAAAUGCAAGUAUAUUGAAUAUGUGUCUGGUUAGUUUCGCAACAAGAAGGCUAGUCCCCAAUUCCGCUUAUACCAGAUGUUGAUGCCUCAUUUUUACCUUACGUUUGAUGCUUUAAGAAAGGUUUUAAGUAUAAUAAGUAAGGAACAACACAGACGAUUAUCUUCUUCAGGUCUCUGAUCAAUGUCGCCAUCUCAAUGAAGCCUACCUUGACCACCUUAUUUAAAAUUGUGACACUGGCCCCAAUCCUCACACUCUUCCUUUGCUCCAUAGCACUCCACACUUUCCAACUUACUAGUUACGUUUAUUGUUUGUUACCUGUCUUCUUUGACUAGAUGGUAACCUUCAUGAGGGCAGGACUGCCUGUGUUGUUCACUGAUAUAUUUCUAGUGCCAUAAACAGAGCCUGGUACAUAGUGGGUACAUAGUAAGUAUGUUGAAUGAUUAAAUGAACAUCUAUGUGCCUGCAGUUUCAAAUCCUCUUCUGUUCACAGGAUACUACCAACAUCGAAGAACCCUAAGGCUCAUUUCUUAAGGCAAAACCCCCUGUGAAUGUAUGUGAUUAAAGCACAGUCAGAGAACUGAUGUUGGGCACAAAUGUUUGGAGCCCCAGUAGCUCUUUGAGCAUUGCUAGAAGCAUGUGAGUGCCGGCUCUGUAUGGGACAUAAGGAGAAAGCUCUCUCAGUUGCUAGGAAGUCAAGGCCACAUGUAUUUGCGAGGCACUCAUUUCUGUGUACUCCGUGCUGAACCCACUGCGAGGUUCCCCCUAAAGGAGAAGGUCCUGCCUUUGUUCUCAACAUGUUUGCCAAAUAGUAAUGGUUACCUGUGGUUCAUGACCCUUAAUAGCAAGAGGAUCCACCUAAAUUUGACAAAAGAACUGCUCUAAUUAUUUGAGGGCUUAAAAAAAAGAUCUCAGGCCAAUGAAGAUCAUUAAACAUACUUGGAACCACUUGCUCAGACAGGUAGUAGCUAAUUCCUUUGACCUGAUGACCGCAGAUUUUUAAAAGUAAUUAUUUGUGUAGUGAGGCUGAGCUGCUUAUUUUCAUCGUAUCUCCAUAUCCUAGCUUGCUUGUCAUGAAAACAACAUGC